UCCUGCGGCCCCCACCCCACCCCCCUUCUCUGCGGGGAAUUCGAGUCUUGACGGAGAUGCUGAACCUGGAGCCUUUCUUGGGAUUCGUGAUCAGCAGGCGCCAGCCUCCUCCUCACCGUGCCCACCCUUCUCUGCCCUCAUCUCCUUGUGCCUACAUCCCCAAGAAAACGCUGAAGGCCUCAUGUGUAUGAUAUGGAAUCAAGCUUCACUUUCCACCUGGGCUAGGUCAGACAGGAUGUCGGACUUCAAAACACACUGAGGGCCCUAGCCAGUUUGGCCCAGUAGAUAGAGCAUCAGCCUGCAGACCAAAGUUGUCCCAAGUUCGAUUCCAGUCAAGGGCAUGUACCUUGGUUGCAGGCUCCUUCCCGGCCCAGGCCCUGGUUGGGGCUCGUGAAGGAGGCAACCAACUGAUAUGUUUUUCUCACAUUGAUGUUUCUCUCUGUCUUUCCCUCUCUCUCCCACUCUCCCUAAAAGUCAAUGGAAAAUAUCCUUGGGAGAGGAUUAACAACAACAACACACACACACACUGAGGAAUGCUGACCAGCAGUGCACACUUAUGAAUAAACCAGUUACUGUUAGCACAGAUACAGGGUGGUAUCUCCCAUAUCUGUUUUUCUUCC